CGAUAUCGGAAGGGCUGGAGGCCGUACGUUGGUGGUGGGUCGAGCCAAGGUGGUGGUACGUGUAGAUGGUCCUCCUCUGCGUGCAUUGAGGACGCGAAGAAGUUGCUCCAGGAUGAUGGCCUCCCCGAUCUGCUCUUUGGUCCGUUGCUCCGGCUGAAUCCAACGGCGGUAGAGUCCUUUUAAGCGGUGAUAUGUCUCAGUGGGCGUUUCUCCAUGUGGCACAGAUGCACAGCGAAACUCUUGUCUGUAUGUCUCUGGUGAUAUGUCAAACUUGCUCAAUAAAGCUUCUUUCAGGUC